rnacentral:rRNA from 1 species
GUAAGAACUCAGAUUGACACACACAAACAACCCGAAGCGGCACUGCGGAACCUCUGAGAGAGACGACCCAACUCAGAAUUCGCAAGCUUCGCUUGCUCGCCGGAGCAGCACGCGCACCAGAUGGCCGCGGCAAUGGAGGUCGACGCCGGCGGAGAGAAGCCGUCGGAGAAGGAGCUCUUCCUCGCCGCGGAGUCCGGGGACGCCAGCGUCUUCGCCUCCCUCGCCCCCGCCGACCUCGCCGCAGCACUCUCCCUCCGCAACGAGGACGGCCGCUCCCUCGUCCACGUCGCCGCCUCCUCCGGCCGCCCCGAGGCCGUCGCCGCGCUUGUGGCUGCGGGGGGCGACGCCGUGGCCAGCGCCGUGAACGGGAAGGACGAGGAAGGGUGGGCGCCGAUUCACUCGGUGGCCAGCAGCGGCAACGCCCAGAUCAUCGACAUCCUGCUCGGUCACGGUGCAAAUGUUGAUUUGACUACUGAUGCUGGCCGAACUGCUCUUCACUAUGCUGCUAGUAAAGGAAGGCUUAACAUUGCUGAAACGCUGAUAGCUCAUCGUGCAAAUGUCAACAAGAAAGAUAAGUUUGGCUGCACACCCCUGCAUAGAGCUGCGAGUACUGGAAAUGCUGAGCUGUGUGAAUACCUGCUUGAAGAAGGCGCAGAUAUUGAUGCAGUUGACAAGCUAGGACAAUCACCUCUAAUGCAUGCCGUCAUAUGUGAGGACAGAGGGGUUGCCCUUCUGCUGAUCAGACAUGGUGCCGAUGUUGACAUUGAAGACAAGGAGGGCUACACUGUCCUUGGCCGAGCCUCUGAUAGCUUCAGGCCUGCACUGAUUGAUGCAGCCAAGGCAAUGCUCGAAGGCUGAGGAUGUUUUGCUGCCCUAAGGUAAAAGAUAGAUGGGAGAACAUCUGGAACAGAAAAACCGUCGUUGUGUACCUCGUGAUAUAAGUACGAGCUGUUCCCCUCGAAAAUCAGAUUGAGCAGCCAGACUUUUUGUUCGUGGUUAAUGAUUCUCGUGUUGACUUUGAUGUUCUGCCUUUGCGUUUUCUUCAGAUGACUUACUGACGACUGUCAUAGUUCAGGGCAAAAAAUGAAAACUUGGUUCUCUUCUGCCAACAGAACUUCUUUAGGCAGUGUUAAAAGGAUGCGAAUUAUACGUAUUAUGCGGCACCUGCAUUCAGUAGAUGUGAACUUGGUCUGUACGUGUUUCUUUACCAUACGAUUAUCAGUAGCUUCCAGCUACCCUAAUUUUGUGUGCUCAUUUAUUCA